GAGAGUGUGACUUAGUGGUAGAGUGCUUGCUUAGUGUGCAUGAAGCCCUAGGUUCAAUUCCUCACUACCA
rnacentral:tRNA from 1 species